rnacentral:rRNA from 1 species
UACGGGGGGGGCAAGCGUUGUUCGGAAUUACUGGGCGUAAAGGGCUCGUAGGCGGCCAACUAAGUCGGAUGUGAAAUCCCCAGGCUUAACCUGGGAACUGCAUCCGAUACUGGAUGGCUUGAAUCCGGGAGAGGGAUGUGGAAUUCCAGGUGUAGCGGUGAAAUGCGUAGAUAUCUGGAGGAAUACCGGUGGCGAAGGCGGCAUCCUGGACCGGCAUUGACGCUGAGGAGCGAAAGCUAGGGGAGCAAACGGG